rnacentral:lncRNA from 1 species
GGAGAAUGCCAUGCAGUUAUCAAGACUCCACAAUGAUCAGCCAGUGAAGCCCCUGGACAGAGCCGUCUUCUGGAUUGAGUUUGUCAUGCGUCACAAAGGAGCCAAGCACCUUCCUGUGGCUGCACAUGACCUCAGCUGGUUUCAGUACCACUCUCUGGAUGUGAUCGGGUUCCUACUGGUCUGUGUUGUAACUCUGACGUUCGUCAUCACUAAAUGUUGUUUAUGUGUAGAAAAUUUUGUUUGAGAGAAAGGAAGAAAA